rnacentral:rRNA from 1 species
UGGGGAAUUUUGCGCAAUGGGGGAAACCCUGACGCAGCAACGCCGCGUGGAGGAUGAAGUAUCUUGGUACGUAAACUCCUUUCGAUGGGGAAGAUGAUGACGGUACCCAUAGAAGAAGCCCCGGCUAACUUCGUGCCAGCAGCCGCGGUAAUACGAGGGGGGCAAGCGUUGUUCGGAUUUAUUGGGCGUAAAGGGUGCGUAGGCGGUUUGAUAAGUCAUCUGUGAAAUCCAUGGGCUCAGCUCAUGGUCUGCAGGCGAAACUGUCGGGCUUGAGUAUUGGAGAGGUGAGUGGAAUUUCCGGUGUAGCGGUGAAAUGCGUAGAUAUCGGAAGGAACGCCUGUGGCGAAAGCGGCUCACUGGACAAUAACGGACGCUGAUGCACGAAAGCUAGGGGAGCAAAC